rnacentral:rRNA from 1 species
GACGAACGCUGGCGGCGUGCUUAACACAUGCAAGUCGAACGAAGUGGCGAACGGGUGAGUAACGCGUAAUCAACCUGCCCUUCAGAGGGGGACAACAGUUGGAAACGACUGCUAAUCCCGCAUACUGAAGGCGUGGAUUGCGUCUGAUUAGCUAGUUGGAGGGGUAACGGCCCACCAAGGCGAUGAUCAGUCGCCGGUCUGAGAGGAUGAACGGCCAAAUUGGGACUGGGACACGGCCCAGACUCCGUCGGGAGGCAGCAGGGGGGAAUCUGCCGCAAUGGACGAAAGGCUGACGGAGCAAAGCCGGGGGAGUGAUGACGGCCUUCGGGGUGGAAAGCUCUGUUAAGCGGGACGCGGUACCGGAAGAGAAAGCCACGGCUAACUACGUGCCAGCAGCCGCGGUAAUUC